rnacentral:rRNA from 1 species
AUACGGAGGGUGCAAGCGUUAUCCGGAAUCAUUGGGUUUAAAGGGUCCGUAGGCGGGCGAUUAAGUCAGAGGUGAAAUCCCACAGCUCAACUGUGGAACUGCCUUUGAUACUGGUUGUCUUGAGUUACAGUGAAGUAGAUAGAAUGUGUAGUGUAGCGGUGAAAUGCAUAGAUAUUACACAGAAUACCGAUUGCGAAGGCAGCCUACUAACUGUAUACUGACGCUAAUGGACGAAAGCGUGGGGAGCGAACAGGAUUAGAAACCCGAGUAGUCC